AGAUGAAGAACGCAGUGAAAUGCGAUAAGUAAUGUGAAUUGCAGAAUUCAGUGAAUCAUCGAAUCUUUGAACGCACAUUGCACCCGCCAGUAUUCUGGCGGGCAUGCCUGUUCGAGCGUCAUUUCAACCAUCAAGCCCCAGGCUUGUGUUGGGGACCUGCGGCUGCCGCAGGCCCUGAAAACCAGUGGCGGGCUCGCUGUCACACCGGGCGUAGUAGAUUUUAUCUCGCUCAGGGCGUGCUGCGGGUUCCGGCCGUUAAAAAGCCUUUUUUACCCAAGGUUGACCUCGGAUCAGGUAGGAAGACCCGCUGAACUUAAGCAUAUCAAUAAGCGGAGGA
rnacentral:misc_RNA from 1 species